AAUGAACGUUGGCGGCGUGGAUUAGGCAUGCAAGUCGCGCGUGUACCCGCAAGGGGAAGGCGGCGUAAGGGACAGUAAUGCGUAGAUACGUGCCCUGGGGUCGGGAAUAGCCACGGGAAACUGUGGGUAAUGCCCGAUAACAUCUCCGGAUCAAAGGUGUGAUUCCGCCCUUGGAUCGGUCUGCAUCCUAUUAGCUUGUUGGCGAGGUAAUGGCUCACCAAGGCAAUGAUGGGUAGGGGGUGUGAGAGCACGACCCCCGUCACUGGGACUGAGACACGGCCCAGACACCUACGGGUGGCUGCAGUCGAGGAUCUUCGGCAAUGGGCGCAAGCCUGACCGAGCGACGCCGCGUGCGGGAUGAAGGCCUUCGGGUUGUAAACCGCUGUCAGUGGGGAGGAAAUGCCGGUGGGUACUCUCAUUGGUUUGACCUAUCCGCAGAGGAAGCAAGGGCUAAGUUCGUGCCAGCCGCCGCGGUAA
rnacentral:rRNA from 1 species